AUUUUGACUGAGUGUGGACUAACAUGUUCAAUCAAUUCCCUCAUAUAUUUCUAGUUACUUUGAUGUGUCGCUUCUGAAUAGAUUCAAGAGAUUUGAACAUCGUCGUCGUCUCUCUCGAUCGAUCGACCUCGACCUCGACUCUAAAUCUCCUACCGAUAGUGCGAGUACCGCAUGGUUAAUGUAGUUGAUGUCGUUUAACAACCCCGUAGAAGUAGUACCAAAGGUGCUUUGUUCAGACUUGACUUAAUUUUUUUCUCUCUUACGUUGGUCCCCA
rnacentral:lncRNA from 1 species